UGGGGAAUAUUGGACAAUGGGCGCAAGCCUGAUCCAGCCAUGCCGCGUGAGUGAUGAAGGCCCUAGGGUUGUAAAGCUCUUUCACCGGUGAAGAUAAUGACGGUAACCGGAGAAGAAGCCCCGGCUAACUUCGUGCCAGCAGCCGCGGUAAUACGAAGGGGGCUAGCGUUGUUCGGAUUUACUGGGCGUAAAGCGCACGUAGGCGGACUAUUAAGUCAGGGGUGAAAUCCCGGGGCUCAACCCCGGAACUGCCUUUGAUACUGGUAGUCUUGAGUUCGAGAGAGGUGGGUGGAAUUCCGAGUGUAGAGGUGAAAUUCGUAGAUAUUCGGAGGAACACCAGUGGCGAAGGCGGCUCACUGGCUCGAUACUGACGCUGCGGUGCGAAAGCGUGGGGAGCAAACAGG
rnacentral:rRNA from 1 species